rnacentral:lncRNA from 1 species
UAUAAAGUGAGGAGGUUGAGCUACAUGGCAUCUGACUUACUCCCAAUCUGACUGCUGUUUACUCUGAAGCCAUGUGAGUAUGAGGAGACAGAGAAGAGGGAAGGAUGUGGGACAUGUGGCCCAUGUGAGACAACUGACCCAGACGGGCUAAAGCGAGAGGAGGAGGAGGACCCAGUGGCUCAGAACUCUCAGCCUCAAGGGUGGAAACAGGGUGAGAGGGAUUAACAUACUGGGACACUGGUCUUCUCCUUCCUUUGGACUCAGACUCAGACUUAGACUGGAAUUUACAACAUCAACUCACCUGGGUUUCCAGCUUGCCAACUUCAGAUCUUGGACUUCUCAUCUUCUAUAAUCAUGAUCUGUUCCAGAAGGAACUGCUGGAUCAAAGCAUGUGCGAACUCUUAAGGCUUCUGAUACAUAUUGCCAAAUUACCACUCGAAGGACUUACCAGCAGUGAAUGGGAGAACCUCUUCCCCAGGGUCCUGACCCACCCAACCAUAAACACACAAUAAGGAAGUAAGGGGGAUGGGGGAGGGAUAUUAAUGUUUUAAUUUGUUCUU